rnacentral:rRNA from 1 species
GUUGUAUGGUUAAGUGACUAAGCGUACACGGUGGAUGCCUUGGCAGUCAGAGGCGAUGAAAGGCGUAUUAACUUGCGAUAAGCCUAGAUUAGAUAGUAAAAAUCUUUGAGUCUAGGAUUCCUGAAUGGGGAAACCCAGCACCAUAAGGUGCUAUCACUAACUGAAUACAUAGGUUAGUGAGGCGAACCGGGGGAACUGAAACAUCUAAGUACCCCGAGGAAAAGAAAUCAACCGAGAUUCCGAAAGUAGCGGCGAGCGAAAUUGGAUUAGCCCUUAAGCUUUUAGUGAGACAGGUGAAGCCUCUGGAAAGUGGCGCGAUACAGGGUGAUAGCCCCGUAACCGACAUCUCAUCAUCAGUGAAAUCGAGUAGGGCGGGACACGUGAUAUCCUGUCUGAAUAUGGGGGGACCAUCCUCCAAGGCUAAAUACUACUGACUGACCGAUAGUGAACCAGUACCGUGAGGGAAAGGCGAAAAGAACCCCUGUGAGGGGAGUGAAAUAGAACCUGAAACCGUGUACGUACAAGCAGUAGGAGCACCUUCGUGGUGUGACUGCGUACCUUUUGUAUAAUGGGUCAGCGACUUAUAUUCAGUAGCAAGGUUAACCAUCUAGGGGAGCCGUAGAGAAAUCGAGUCUUAACUGGGCGUCGAGUUGCUGGAUAUAGACCCGAAACCAGGUGAUCUAGCCAUGGGCAGGUUGAAGGUUGAGUAACAUCAACUGGAGGACCGAACCGACUAAUGUUGAAAAAUUAGCGGAUGACUUGUGGCUAGGGGUGAAAGGCCAAUCAAACCUGGAGAUAGCUGGUUCUCCCCGAAAUCUAUUUAGGUAGAGCCUCGGACGAAUACCACUGGGGGUAGAGCACUGUUAAGGCUAGGGGGUCAUCCCGACUUACCAACCCUUUGCAAACUCCGAAUACCAGUGAGUACUAUCCGGGAGACACACGGCGGGUGCUAACGUCCGUCGUGGAGAGGGAAACAACCCAGACCGCCAGCUAAGGUCCCAAAGUAUAGCUAAGUGGGAAACGAUGUGGGAAGGCUUAGACAGCUAGGAUGUUGGCUUAGAAGCAGCCAUCAUUUAAAGAAAGCGUAAUAGCUCACUAGUCGAGUCGGCCUGCGCGGAAGAUGUAACGGGGCUAAGCUAUACACCGAAGCUGCGGCAAUGACUUAGGUCAUUGGGUAGGGGAGCGUUCUGUAAGCCGUUGAAGGUGGACUGUAAGGUCUGCUGGAGGUAUCAGAAGUGCGAAUGCUGACAUGAGUAACGAUAAAGGGGGUGAAAAACCUCCUCGCCGGAAGACCAAGGGUUCCUGUCCAACGUUAAUCGGGGCAGGGUAAGUCGACCCCUAAGGCGAGGCCGAAAGGCGUAGUCGAUGGGAAACGGGUUAAUAUUCCCGUACUUCUUACAAUUGCGAUGGGGGGACGGAGAAGGCUAGGUGGGCCUGGCGACGGUUGUCCAGGUUCAAGUGCGUAGGCUUAAGAGUUAGGUAAAUCCGGCUCUUUUUAAGGCUGAGACACGACGUCGAGCUACUACGGUAGUGAAGUCAUUGAUGCCAUGCUUCCAGGAAAAGCCUCUAAGCUUCAGAUUGUAAGGAAUCGUACCCCAAACCGACACAGGUGGUCGGGUAGAGAAUACCAAGGCGCUUGAGAGAACUCGGGUGAAGGAACUAGGCAAAAUGGUACCGUAACUUCGGGAGAAGGUACGCUCCUCGCGGUGAAGUCCCUUGCGGAUGGAGCUAUGGGGAGUCGCAGAUACCAGGUGGCUGCAACUGUUUAUUAAAAACACAGCACUGUGCAAAAUCGUAAGAUGACGUAUACGGUGUGACGCCUGCCCGGUGCCGGAAGGUUAAUUGAUGGGGUUAGACUUAGGUCGAAGCUCUUGAUCGAAGCCCCGGUAAACGGCGGCCGUAACUAUAACGGUCCUAAGGUAGCGAAAUUCCUUGUCGGGUAAGUUCCGACCUGCACGAAUGGCGUAAUGAUGGCCACGCUGUCUCCACCCGAGACUCAGUGAAAUUGAAAUCGCUGUGAAGAUGCAGUGUACCCGCGGCUAGACGGAAAGACCCCGUGAACCUUUACUACAGCUUGGCACUGAACAUUGAGCCUACAUGUGUAGGAUAGGUGGGAGGCUUUGAAGCGAGUACGCCAGUAUUCGUGGAGCCAUCCUUGAAAUACCACCCUUGUAUGUUUGAUGUUCUAACUUAGCCCCAUUAUCUGGGGUGAGGACAGUGCCUGGUGGGUAGUUUGACUGGGGCGGUCUCCUCCCAAAGAGUAACGGAGGAGCACGAAGGUGGGCUAAUCACGGUUGGACAUCGUGAGGUUAGUGCAAUGGCAUAAGCCCGCUUGACUGCGAGAAUGACAAUUCGAGCAGGUGCGAAAGCAGGUCAUAGUGAUCCGGUGGUUCUGUAUGGAAGGGCCAUCGCUCAACGGAUAAAAGGUACUCCGGGGAUAACAGGCUGAUACCGCCCAAGAGUUCAUAUCGACGGCGGUGUUUGGCACCUCGAUGUCGGCUCAUCACAUCCUGGGGCUGAAGUCGGUCCCAAGGGUAUGGCUGUUCGCCAUUUAAAGUGGUACGCGAGCUGGGUUUAGAACGUCGUGAGACAGUUCGGUCCCUAUCUGCCGUGGGCGUUGGAAGAUUGAAGGGGGCUGCUCCUAGUACGAGAGGACCGGAGUGGACGAACCUCUGGUGUUCGGGUUGUGUCGCCAGACGCAUUGCCCGGUAGCUAAGUUCGGAAUCGAUAACCGCUGAAAGCAUCUAAGCGGGAAGCGAGCCCUGAGAUGAGUCUUCCCUGGCACUUUAAGUGUCCUAAAGGGUUGUUCGAGACUAGAACGUUGAUAGGCAGGGUGUGUAAGCGUUGUGAGGCGUUGAGCUAACCUGUACUAAUUGCCCGUGAGGCUUAACCAUACAACACCCAAGGGGUUU